GAAGAGAAGUGACUCUCUUGAUGCUAUUUACUGAAGCAUGGCACCUUCAAGCCCAGGCUGGGCAGCCACUGACCCCAGAUAUGGGAAGGGGACCCCGUGAAUAAGAGCGAGGGAUACCUGGGUCAGGAGGUGCCAAACCUGGCUGUGCACCAGAGUCUCCUGGACAUUCUAGAGUCCUGCCUCCUGAGUGGAAUCUCUACAGGUGGUGCCUGGUUAUCUGUAUGUCUUAAGAGCUACCAACUGCUCCCCAGACCAACCCUUGGUAACCAGCAAGCCGAGAAGACCACUAAGGACCCUUCCAAGCCAUGACUACGAGACUCUGAGACCUCCAGAGAGAACUUUGCAUCCAACCUGAAACACAACACAUCCUAUGAGUCUCGGUUGGAGUCAACACAAAGAAGGUGCUAUUCUGCUUAGAAAUUCAUCUGGGACACGCGGGGCGGCUAUGUUUUCCUCUAUAUGAACCAGAGAUGCAAAGAAAGGCAGUUUUCAUAGAAAGAGAGAAGCAAGAAGUGGAGAUAAGAAGAGAGAAAGACCCCUCAGGCUCUGCCGGGCAACCUCCCAGGCUGUUGCGGAAGCUAGGUGGCACCCCUGAAGGAAGGACACAUUGGGAAACCACAAUCGCAUCAGAAGUGUUCUUAAUGACCAAGGAAUCAGACAGAAGGCUGGGUCCAGUGUUUAAUGGCGUCCGUCUUGGGGACCUUCAUCCCCACUCUGCAUCAGCACUUCUCAGCGGCUGUGACUGGUGCACAGCACUGUCGCAUUUAUCCAGGGGUCCGUGCGUCUUACUCCACGGCAGCCCCAGGCUCUUUUUUCUCUUUAGCUGUAUUCCAGGAUACAGCAUGGAAGCCAGCCUAUCGCAUGAAGGUGGUCUAAUGCCAUUUAUACCGAUUAAAAGGGUGAUCUUUCGUACUGGGAAUUAUAUUUCUUGAAAGUAUUAAACAAUGUAUAUUCUUCUGGGUCACCCUUUAAUUGUUUCUGGUUGCCUGAUAGCUUCCUACCUUUGCAGGAGAGGCAUCCAUUACCUUGGGGAGAAGAAGACGGAGGCUAGAACGAAGAAGGUACUGCUUGUCUUAAAACUCCAGAGUAGAGUUUAAGGCCAUGGCCAGACAAUUGCCUAUGCCAAGUGUCCUUAAUUGUCAUAGGUGCAGUAGGAAAGGAAGAAAGAAAAUGCUGACAAGUAACUAUGACCUAUCAUCUAUUGCAAGAUGUAUCUUAAAAUGUGGUGGAAAAUGUGCCAGGCUUUGCCGAGAGACAAGAGGGAUUUAAUUGGAGCUCCUCAAACUGGGCUUUACUUCUCAAGAGUCAGAGGGGAAGAGUGGACCCACACACCAGAGAGUGAGCUGGGCUGGACUAGAACAGGGAGGGCUUCCACCCAGCCCAGGAGGGCACGGCCUGUGGCCAAUGGGAAGAGCCGCAGAAAGAGAAAACGGACGAAGCAAGAGCUGGGCUCUGACGGUCAAGUCUGGAAGCAGGGGUAGAAACCUACGGUCACUGGGCUCGUGGCUUCCUCCCCCGGGGGAGCCCGGGAGGUGGCAACUGCCCCAGAAAGGUGGGCGCAGAGUGAGACCCGGCUUCCAGCCAGGCACAGAAGGAUCCCAGAGCCCGGGGGCACCAGCAGAGUGGGAGAAGCGACCAAGGGCUCCUGGGACCAGGAAGCUGGAGUCCAGGAGCCUCACAUCUGGCGCAAUGGCAAGGCCCACGGCUGUUGGCACUGAACAGCUUCAUGGCCCACACCCAGUGAGACCUGUCACACCACAGCUGACACAGGAGGCCACAGGGACCCAAGGACGGGGGCUACCACCUGACCCGGCAGGAUGAGGCAACUCCCCUUGAGGGGGGCAGGCUGGGACCUCUCCACAACCCCUGCAGAUGCCACACCAACAUAAGGGAGAGGGCCAGUGGCAGCCGGAGGGGUUGCCCUGAAAGGCCAGGUCCUAAGAGUUACUGAGAUUUAAAAUAAACUCAGUGACGGACACAGUCAUGCCUGCCCUGGGCUAAAAACCUUGACCUGGACCGAGUAUGCUGGAACUCAUUAAUCCUGGCAUGUAUUCAUUCAGUAAAUAUUUACAGAGCACACACUACCUGCCGGGCAAUGUUCUAGCUACUUGGGACAGAUACGAGAACGCAUCACACAAAAGCCCUACCGUCGAGCCUACAUUCCGCAGGGGGUGAACCGAUAGUACACUGUGACCGUAAUAAAGAAGGGACUUCCACGGGAUGUGAGACGCGAACCUGGAAAAUAAGUGUCUGCCUCAAGGAGUCUGGGCCUGAGAGCAAAACCAUGUCCAGUUACACAAUAUCCAUCCCCACCGGCGCCCCUACACUUGCGUAUGCCAGCGUCGCCUCCCUCUGAAGGACGCUGAGGACAGAAGGAGGAACACGAGGUAGGCCGUGUCCUCGAGGACCUGACAGCCCAGCCUGUGAGUUUGCACCAUGGGCUUCGCGGGGCAGGAACUGUGUCCUUUCCUUCAUUUAAUAAAUGUUUACCGAGCACCCAGUGAAAUGCAUGCCUGGCGCUGGGCACUCACACAACACACAAGACAUUCACAAAGCACACACG